rnacentral:rRNA from 1 species
CAGCAGUGGGGAAUAUUGCACAAUGGGCGCAAGCCUGAUGCAGCCAUGCCGCGUGUAUGAAGAAGGCCUUCGGGUUGUAAAGUACUUUCAGCAGUGAGGAAGGUGGAUAUGUUAAUAGCAUAUUCAUUUGACGUUUAGCUGCAGAAGAAGCACCGGCUAACUCCGUGCCAGCAGCCGCGGUAAUACGGAGGGUGCGAGCGUUAAUCGGAAUUACUGGGCGUAAAGCGCAUGCAGGUGGUUUGUUAAGUCAGAUGUGAAAGCCCGGGGCUCAACCUCGGAAUUGCAUUUGAAACUGGCAAACUAGAGUACUGUAGAGGGGGUAGAAUUUCAGGUGUAGCGGUGAAAUGCGUAGAGAUCUGAAGGAAUACCGGUGGCGAAGGCGGCCCCCUGGACAGAUACUGACACUCAGAUGCGAAAGCGUGGGGAGCAAACAGGAUUAGAUACCCUGGUAG